rnacentral:rRNA from 1 species
GACGAACGCUGGCGGCGUGCCUAAUACAUGCAAGUAGAACGCUAACGCGAUGAGCUUUCUCUUCUUGGGUGAGUUGCGAACGGGUGAGUAACGCGUAGGUAACCUGCCUUGUAUCGGGGGAUAACUAUUGGAAACGACAUCUACUACCGCAUAACACUGGCUGCCACAUAUCGCUUAUUUUCAUGGGGCCAUUCCUGCACUAAAAAGUGGACCUCCGUUGUAUUAGCUAGUGGGUGAGGUAAUGGCCCACCCAGGCGACGGUACAUAGUCUACCUGGGAGGGAGAUCCGCCACACUGGGACUGGGACACGGCCCAGACUCCUACGGGAGGGAGCAGUAGGGGAUCAUCGGAAAUGGGGGCAAACCUGGCCGAGCAACGCCGCGUGAGGGAAGAAGGGUUUCGGAUCGUAAAACUCUGUUGUAAGUCAAAAACGGGCGGGAGAGUAGAAAGUUCACACUGUGACGGUAGCUAAACAGAAAGGGACGGCUAACUACGUG